UUUUUUGGUACCAGGAAUCAAACUCGGGACCUUGCGCUUGCCAGGCAGGCACUUCUACCACUGAGCUACCUCCCCCACCCUCUAUUCAUUUUUAGAGGCCACCCUCAUUCAUAGCUUAUGAGUUUCCCCUCUCUUCACAAACACUAGUAGCAAGUUCAGUGUAUCUCACAUCACAUCACUCUGACCUCCACUUCUGCCUCCUUUUUCUGCUUUUCUGGACCCCUGUGAUUACACCAGGCCCACCUCAACAAUCCAGAAUGAACUUCCUGGUUUAAGGUGUAGGUGGAGGUCUUCUAGUUCUGGCCUAAAUGAAAUAUCCCCAUUUCUAUGUAGUAUUUCCUCUUACAACUGAAAAACCCUGGACAUAACAGCAGACAAAUGUCAGAAGAUUCUGGAAGGUGGGAAGCAGAUGGAAGACUGCCUAAAGAGUUCAUAAAAGUGAAUUAAGAACUGAGAUGUAGUAGUCACCUGAACUCUGGAUAAUAUUUUCUUCAUUUCCUGUUGAAUACAGACCUUUUGAUAAGUAGCAAA